ACACGACUACAUUAGAUACCCGGGUAGUCCUAGCCGUAAACGAUACUCGCUAGGUGUCGGCCACGGUGCGACCGUUGUCGGUGCCGUAGGGAAGCCGUGAAGCGAGCCACCUGGGAAGUACGGCCGCAAGGCUGAAACUUAAAGGAAUUGGCGGGGGAGCACAACAACGAGUGGAGCUUGCGGUUUAAUUGGAUUCAACGCCGGAAAUCUUACCGGGACCGACAGCAACAUGAAGGCCAAGCUGAAGACUUUGCCGGAUUAGCUG
rnacentral:rRNA from 1 species